UGCAAAGCAAAAUUAUCUUAUAAAACAAGUACGUCGAAUUUGAAACGGCACAUGGAAUGCAACAUCCCACAAUAUCAAAUAGUAUAAGUAGAGAGAUGCGGCGAACACGGAAAAGUACGACACACGACGAUGUAGGACGAAGGUCUAGACGACGACGCCCGUCGUUUGUUUUCGGUUGUUAAUUGGAUUGUUUUGUUUUUGGGGAGUAACAAAUAAACUAAUUUUUAAUUGUUUCCACAACAUUGCUAAAUUUCCCUACAAUAAGUUCUGAAAUUUUUUGCGAAGAGUAAUAUAUUUGAACCUAUUUUCACUCAAAUAAAGUUUUUUUCAGAUCAGAAAUUACAAUCAAAGUCCCUAUUAAGUAACUAUGCAAGUGACGCACAAUUGCCGGCACCAAAAAAAAACCAAAACGGCAGUCACAAGUGAAAUCACAUUCGCAGGCUAAAUUCACAGUUAUAACAGUAAUUUUAAAAUCACGGUUUAGCUCAUCUCUAGUUUCGGAUCAAAACGUCCUCACUGCGAAGUAGUUGUUUUCGAAACUUCGAUUGUUUCUUGAACAUAUUGAGCGCCCGGACAUGAUUUCGGCAAAAUGGUUUGCAGCAUUUCUGUUCGAAAAAAUGUUAGCUGUGCCUAUUCUGCCCUAUUUACGGUCUCCCUGUAUAAGGAACGCGCGAAGGUUAGCUUUGCACGCGUUCAUCGUGCAAACAUGAGCUGAUUCAAAUUGUUCUCAUUAUCAAAUUCAAGUCCAAUAUUUGAAUAUUUCCAUUAUCAUCAAUGAAAUGGUCAUUGCAAAUGCCAUUUAAGUUAAAAUAGUUGACUGAUUGUAAGCAUAACAGGCAUUUUCAGCCAGUUUGCUAUAAAUUGCUUCAUUACGCAGGGCCUUCUUGCGAUGCCUCAACAUCAAAGUUGCUGCUUGCUCUUGUUUCUGUCGCUGUGCAUAGCGCAUGUAGCUGGAAAGUGCGUGGUCACAUUCACGGAAACCACUGGAGCAAUAAUCUGCAGAAACAUCACGGCUGAAGACUAUGUGGCAGAACUGUUUGGAAGUAGGGCAACCAUUGUUAGAGCCAUAAAGAUUCACCAUUGUCAAAAAUCAGUCCUCCACCUCUGUCGUCAAAUAUUUUUUUAAAGGUUUCGUUAGUGGAUCAGUAGACCGAGAAAGCGGGUAGUAAAAAGGAUAAUAAAGAGAUGCGCACAG
rnacentral:lncRNA from 1 species